rnacentral:lncRNA from 10 species
CUUGAACUCCUGAACUCAAGUGGUCUUCCCGCUUUGGCCUCCUGAAGUACCAGGAUGACAGGUGUGAGCUGCUGCACCUGGCCCCAGUCCUCAUUUUUAUCAGCUGGUUGCCUUCCUGCUCAGCAGGGGUAAUAGCAGAUGUUGCUUAACAAGGGUCUGGGAUUUGAAGAAACCUCCACUACCCAUAUCUUGUUUGUCUAUCAAAUAGACAAACACAAAUAGUGUUUUAAAAUUUUAAUUAUUAUUAUUAUUUUUUUUGAGACAGGGUCUCGCCCUGUCACCCAGGCUGGAGUGCAAUGGCGUGAUCUCAGCUCACUGCAACCUCCGCCUCCCAGGUUCAAGCCAUUCUCCUGCCUCAACCUCCUGAGUAGCUGGGAUUAUAGGCACACACCACCAUGCCUGGCUAAUAUUUUGUAUUUUUGGUAGAGAUGGGGUUUCACCAUGUUGGGCAGGCUGGCCUCAAACUCCUGACCUCAUAAUCUGCUCGCCUCGGCCUCCCAAGUUAUUAUUUUUUUAAAGAUGGGGUCUUGCUAUGUUGCCCAGGCUUGUCUCGAACUGCUGGGCUCAAGGGAUCCUCCUGUGUCAGCCUCCUGAGUAGCUGGGGCUACAGGUGCACUCUACUGCACCUGGCUUCUUGUUUUUUGUUGAAUUUAGAUGCCUUUUGGUGGAGCAGGUGCUUGCCCCAUCACUUCCUACUGUCCUAUAUACAACCUACUUCACUCAUUUAUAUUAUUUGCCAGGCCCCUGAAGGCGUCUGGUUUGUGACUUCUGUGAUUUAAUACUGGUUGUAACCAUCAGCAUCAUAUCUGGGUGAUGGGGUCUUUGGUUUCUCCUAAGAUCACUGUGAAGAGCUGCUUAGUCAAACACCACACAACUCUAGGGAAUCUAUUUGCAAAAACUAUGGAUGUGAGUUGUACUCCUGGGAGUUACAAAGUACAAAGCUUGUGUAACUGUUGGUGGUGGCCCAAGAGAUGCACACCGCGCUGGUGGUACACAGGGAAUGAUUCUGCCCGAACACAAAGUAUUAUCCUUAGUCCCAUAGGAAUGACGGAAGUCAGGAUGAUGAACCAAGAGGUAGUGUAUAUAUGGUUCAAAGGAUGACCAUUUAAUGGUUUGCCAUUGUGAAGCCCAUCUUUUGGGGUCCUACAACUUAAACCAUCCAAUUAAAUGUCAUCUCUGGACAGACCAGGUCCAGCUACUAGUGUUCCCAAAGUGCCAAAAUAACCGUAUUCACUGAUGUGAUUAAGAAACCUGAGUGGGCUGUUUUCAACAACGGUGAGAAAAGCAAGUUUACACUUCUUAGAAUCUUACUGAAUUAAUGGUGAAAAUUACUAGUUGCUUUUAUUUUUCCCCCAAGCAAAGAAGGUGCUGUGAAUGCUUUCGAUCUUUUACUCUCAAGGGAAAUCUAGUGAUCCUUACACCAUCUGAAAGACAGAAAUCAUAGCAAUGAUUCAGAUCCCACAUCUAGGACUGUGCCAAACUUAGGCUGAACCACUCAAAACCUGAAGGGUAAGUGAACUAGAAACUACAAGUGACUGAGCCACAGGUGAGGUUCAGUUCCCUUCAAGAAAGAUAUUCACAUUCUGUGCCUCUGAGACUUUAAGUGUAUCAAAUAGAAACUGACUAUGCCACAGACCUAACAUGUGACUUGGACAUCAACUCCUGAGUGGGGACAUGGCACCUAGUACAUCUUCUAGCUCCUAGUCAGCCAGUUUUCUGUAAGUCAAUAAACAUUCAUUAACAAUCACACAAACCAAAUUACUGUACCUCCUCAGGCAAGCUGACCACCAAAUCAUUUUUUGUCUGUCCAACCAGCGCCUGCCAAAAAUAUUCACUGCAUGCGGCCAGCACAGCCCGGUGGGCCCGGAACUCCUUC